AGCGGCUCUUCUUUCUUCCUCUCUGAGACAAGAACACAUGCACUUUUCCUGUAAGUGUUGUCUCCCCAGUUAUUCUGGAGACCAUCCAGAAGAGAAUGAGAAUAAAGAAACGAACAGAAGAAAGACGAAGAAGGAAGAAUAAAAGAUACCAAAAUGACAGUACCGCUUGCUUCAGAGAGUUUCGCUCUUGUGGCCCAGUCUGGAGUGCAGUGGCGCCAUCUCAGCUCAUUGCAACCUCUGCCUCCCGGGUCCAAGCGACUCUCCUGCCUCAGCCUCCCGAGUAGCUGGGAUUACAGGCACCCGCCACCACGCCCAGCUAAGUUUUUGUAGUUUUAGUAGAGACGGGGGUUUCACCAUGUUAGCCAGGAUGGUCUCGAUCUCCUGACCUCGUGAUCUGCCUGCCUCGGCCUCCCAAAGUGCUGGGAUUACAGGCGUGA
rnacentral:antisense_RNA from 1 species